rnacentral:rRNA from 1 species
GAUGAACGCUGGCGGCGUGCCUAAUACAUGCAAGUCGAGCGAACAGACGAGGAGCUUGCUCCUCUGACGUUAGCGGCGGACGGGUGAGUAACACGUGGAUAACCUCCCUAUAAGACUGGGAUAACUUCGGGAAACCGGAGCUAAUCCCGGAUAAUAUAUUGAACCGCAUGGUUCAAUAGUGAAAGACGGUUUUGCUGUCACUUAUAGAUGGAUCCGCGCCGCAUUAGCUAGUUGGUAAGGUAACGGCUUACCAAGGCAACGAUGCGUAGCCGACCUGAGAGGGUGAUCGGCGACACUGGAACUGAGCCACGGUCCAGACUCCUACGGGAGGCAGCAGUAGGGAAUCUUCCGCAAUGGGCGAAAGCCUGACGGAGCAACGCCGCGUGAGUGAUGAAGGUCUUCGGAUCGUAAAACUCUGUUAUUAGGGAAGAACAAAUGUGUAAGUAACUAUGCACGUCUUGACGGUACCUAAUCAGAAAGCCACGGCUAACUACGUG